GACGAACGCUGGCGGCGUGCUUAACACAUGCAAGUCGAACGGUGAAGCUCCAGCUUGCUGGAGUUGAUCAGUGGCGAACGGGUGAGUAACACGUGAGCAACCUGCCCCUGACUCUGGAAUAAGCGCUGGAAACGGCGUCUAAUACUGGAUACGAGAAGGGUCCGCAUGGGCACUUUCUGGAAAGUUUUUCGGUUGGGGAUGGGCUCGCGGCCUAUCAGCUUGUUGGUGAGGUAAUGGCUCACCAAGGCGACGACGGGUAGCCGGCCUGAGAGGGCGACCGGCCACACUGGGACUGAGACACGGCCCAGACUCCUACGGGAGGCAGCAGUGGGGAAUAUUGCACAAUGGGCGAAAGCCUGAUGCAGCGACGCCGCGUGAGGGAUGACGGCCUUCGGGUUGUAAACCUCUUUCAGCAGGGAAGAAGCGAAAGUGACGGUACCUGCAGAAGAAGCACCGGCUAACUACGUG
rnacentral:rRNA from 1 species